CAGCAGCCACGGGAAUACAGAGGCUGCGAGCGUUAAUCGGAUUUACUGGGCGUAAAGCGUGCGUAGGCGGCUUCUUAAGUCGGAUGUGAAAUCCCUGAGCUUAACUUAGGAAUUGCAUUCGAUACUGGGAAGCUAGAGUAUGGGAGAGGAUGGUAGAAUUCCAGGUGUAGCGGUGAAAUGCGUAGAGAUCUGGAGGAAUACCGAUGGCGAAGGCAGCCAUCUGGCCUAAUACUGACGCUGAGGUACGAAAGCAUGGGGAGCAAACAGGAUUAGAUACCCCAGUAGUCCCUGUCUCUUAUAC
rnacentral:rRNA from 1 species